rnacentral:misc_RNA from 1 species
UUUCCGUAGGUGAACCUGCGGAAGGAUCAUUAUUGUAUAACCGAGGUGCGAGGGCUGUCGCUGACCCGACAGGUCGUGCACGCCCGAGUGCCCUCACACACAUCCAUCUCGCCCUUUGUGCAUCACCGCGUGGGCACCCUUCGGGAUCAUCUCGGAGGGGGGCUCGCGUUUUCACACAAACCCCCCUUUUAAAAGUGUAGAAUGACCACAUUUUUGCAAUCAAUACAACUUUCAACAACGGAUCUCUUGGCUCUC